rnacentral:tRNA from 1 species
GGGGCUAUGGCUCAGAGGUAGAGCACUCGCCUACCAUGUGUGAGGCGCUGGGUUCGAUCCCCAGCACCACA